GACGAACGCUGGCGGCGUGCCUAAUACAUGCAAGUCGAACGCAGUGGGGACGGGUGAGUAACACGUGGGUAACCUCCCAUCAGAGGGGAUACCACUUGGAAACAGGUGCUAAACCGAUACUGAUGGAUGAACCCGCGGUGCAUUGGCUAGUUGGUUGGGUAACGGUUCACCAAGGCCACGAUGCAUAGCGGGCCUGAGAGGGUGAUCAGCCACACUGGGACUGAGACACGGCCCAGACUCCUACGGGAGGCAGCAGUAGGGAAUAUUCGGCAAUGGACGAAAGUCUGACCGAGCAACGCCGCGUGUGUGAAGAAGGUUUUCGGAUCGUAAAACUCUGUUGGUAGAGAAGCGGUAUCUAAACAGAAAGCCACGGCUAACUACGUGCCAGCAGCCGCGGUAAUAC
rnacentral:rRNA from 1 species